GGUGGUAGUUUUUAGUGCGUAGGCACCAUGGAUAGCGAAUCGUGCAUGCUGCUACUAAGAGAUAGCAAUAUCUCUUGAAGAUUUUCUACCUCC
rfam:Glossina pallidipes unplaced genomic scaffold Scaffold87, whole genome shotgun sequence.